GAAGUCGGCUGGACAGUCGCUGUCUCGCGCAAGCGGGAUGGAGGAAAGUCCGGGCUCCACAGGGCAGAGUGCCAGGUAACGCCUGGGGGGCGUGAGUCCACGGAAAGUGCCACAGAAAAUAUACCGCCAAGCCACCGGGAUCGUUCCGGCGGACGGUAAGGGUGAAAUGGUGCGGUAAGAGCGCACCGCGCGUCUGGUAACAGGCGUGGCAGGGUAAACCCCACUCGGAGCAAGGCCAAAUAGGAACCCCAUGACGCGGCCCGUGUCGGGUUCGGGUAGGCCGCUUGAGGCGCACGGCGACGUGCGUCCCAGAUGAAUGAUUGUCCACGACAGAACCCGGCUUACAGGCCGACUUCACCU
rnacentral:RNase_P_RNA from 1 species